UACGAAGGGUGCAAGCGUUAAUCGGAAUUACUGGGCGUAAAGCGCGCGUAGGCGGCUCGGAAAGUCGGUCGUGAAAUGCCGGGGCUCAACCCCGGGACUGCGUCCGAUACUCUCGAGCUGGAGGCAGGUAGGGGAGAUCGGAAUUCCUGGUGUAGCGGUGAAAUGCGCAGAUAUCAGGAGGAACACCGGUGGCGAAGGCGGAUCUCUGGGCCUUGCCUGACGCUGAGGCGCGAAAGCUAGGGGAGCGAACAGG
rnacentral:rRNA from 1 species